CCAUCCAUGGGGAUGCAACUGAAGUACAAUAAUUUUCUGAGGUUUUUUUUUAGAAAUGCGCCAUCUAGUGACGGAUGCCCCGUAACUUGGGUAUUUGUACUUCGUUUUAGUCACUAGAUGUCACUGCACCUUAGACCGAUAUUUCAUCGAUUUAAUAACAAAUCUAAAAAAAGUUUUGUGAUUAGAAAUAUUAACAAAUAUUGUAAUUAAAUAAUUUUAUGAUUUAUUUUUAAUUCUUUUUUAUCUAUGAGGACGUCUUAGUUAAUCACAAUAAUCACACUACUUGAAACCACUUGAAACACUGACGAUUGACAUUGACAGUCGACCAUACUUUUAAAUUAAACCGUUUUCCGUUUUCUAACGUGUUGGUUUAUUCUGAGUGUUAUUUUCUGGUUUUUUUAUUACGAUUGUUGCGUGUUCCUGGACUCUGAUACUGACUGCUUCUGUGAUUGACCUGGCUUCGUAUUUUGGACCUGUGAUCUACUGCAUUUUCAUUGACCCGGCUUUGUAUUUUGGAACCUCGAUCGACUGCUUUUACAUUGACCCGGCACCGUAUUUAGGACUAGAAAAUGCGUCCAGUGGAUCGUCUUAGGGGCGGAAUGCCAUCAACGUCAAGAUAUAAGUGCUACUUUGAUUGUGACAAUGACGGCCCAUUGCACCGAUUUCCUAAACCUGAAUACCCACAUUUGGAAAAGUUUAACUCGUGGAAAAAAGUACUAGAUAAAGCUUUACAAGAGAAAGGCGACAUCUACAUUUAUAACCAAAUUCGAUUUUGCGACAGACAUUUUGAAGAGUGUUACCGUUCAGCCAGUCACCGACUUACUCCAAAUGCAAUACCAACUCUAGAUUUAUCUACAUUACCAGUUGGUCAAACUCUUGAAGGUCCAUCGGGACAUGUCGAGGCAGACAUGUCGAAUUUAUUAAACAUUUCGCAAGAUAAACUUGCUGUCAUUGAGCCAUCCAGCUCUACCCACUAUCAUAGUGAUGUACAGAAUGCAUUACAGACAGCUGAACGCCCUAAAGGUUCUAGGAAAAGAGGGACUUGUCAAUAUUUAAAACGAGUCGUCACCUCCAAAGAGAAGGAGAUAAUAAAGUUAAAACAGAAAGUAUUGAAGCUGAAAAAGAAAUAUAAGGAACAAAAUAACAAGAAACUCUCUGCAAGGAAAAUUUCCACAUCAAAAUCAUUUUGAAAGAGUUAAAUAAAAUGCCUGCAACAAUAAAAAUAUUUACUUCCCUCCAAAUGAAAUGGAAAAAGAAACCACGAGGCAGGCGAUUUACAUUUAACGAAAAAAUCAUGGCAUUGACCAUUUACAAACAGAGUCAGAAAGCUUACAACCUCAUGCGAAAAAUGUUUGUCUUGCCAUCAAAGCGCAGCCUACAAAAAAUGUUGAGUAAAUUUGAACUGAAACCAGGCUUCAAUCCUGAUAUAUUUAAAAUUUAAAAGCUACAGUAGCAAAAUUGCCGGCAGAAAAAAAGUUGGUCAAUUUACUGUUUGAUGAGGUAUCAUUGGCUCCGGGUGUUUUUUACAACCCUGCCCUAAAACAGAUAACUGGUUUUGAAGAUUUUGGGCACAGACAAACAAAAAAACUCGCAGAUCAUGCCUUGGUCUUUAUGAUCAAGGGUAUAAAAAGCAAAGUGAAACAACCUUUAUGCUUUUCAUUUUGCCAAGGUGCCACGAAAAAGGACGAUUUAAAGAAGCUGAUCAAAACAAUAAUAAAAGAAAUCUCCAAUACUGGAUUGAUAGUUAUUGCCACUAUAUGUGACCAAUCAGCCACAAAUAUUUCUGUGAUAAAAAGUCUUCAAGAAGACACAAAACGCAAAUAUUUACAAGAGGGUAAUGAAUAUAGGACCCAAGCCUUCGAGUUUGAAGACCAAAAGGUCUUCCCAUUAUUUGAUCCUCCACAUCUUUUAAAGGGAAUGAGAAAUAAUUUACUCGCCAAACAUUUGAAAUUUGUACAAGAUGGGAAAACAAAGUAUGCAAAGUGGGAACAUUUGGAGAUGCUGUUGAAGUUAGAUGUUGGGGAUGAUGAAAUUAGGCUUGUUAAUAAAUUAACAGAAAACCAUGUUAAUAAAGAGAAAAUUCCAAAAAUGAAAGUGAAAUAUGCUGCACAAGUUUUCAGCCAAAGGGUAUCAUCAGCAUUGAGAUUCUUAGCAAAACACAACCUUCUUCCGGCGGAGUGCGAAGAAACUGCUGAUUUUCUACUCAUUAUGGACAAACUAUUUGAUUCUUUCAAUGGACAUUCAUAUACAGGUGAUCCAAAAUUUUCAAGGGUGUGUAAUGAAUAAUUCUCCUCAUUUUAGAUUAUGGACAGAGGUAGUUCCUAUAUUGGAUUCAAUGACUUUUAAAACUAUAAAAAAAAAACGGGAUGGUACAGAAGAAGUAAGAUAUGAAAAAGUGCCAUCCCUUCAAAAUUGGAUCCACAAUAUUAAAACGUUUAAAGAAAUGUGGGAGUUUUUAAAAAUCAAAUAUAAAGUUACUAGCCUUUUAACCAGAAAUUUCAAUCAGGACCCUCUUGAAAAUUUUUUUUGUAACAUUAGAAGUAAUGGGAUACGAAAUGUUAAUCCCUCGUGCCUACAAUUUAUUAAUGCGUUCAAAACUUUGUUACUUAAUAAUUUAAAUUCGAACCAUUCUGUAAGUGCCAACUGUGAAAAAGAUGAAAAUAAAUCACUGCAAUCUUUCAAAGAUCUUCUUGCUGAAAAACAAAACAAUGAAAUUGAAUUGGUUAGUGGUGAUUUUCCUAUUGAUUCUUUAAUUAAUACAAUGAACCAAAUUAAAUGGAAUGACUCGAUUUUGCAUGCCGAAUCAAAAAAAUAUGUAGCAGGAUACAUUGUAAAAAAUCGAAAUGUAAAGUGUUCAAAAAUGUGGAACAUGUACUAAUGAUAUAUUAAGAAAGGAAAUUGAUUUUGAAUCAUUUAAUUAUGAAAUAGAUUAUACGAAAAAAUCCUUAUUUAAUGCAUGUGAUGAUUUUAUAAAAUUAUUAAAUGAAAUAUAUUAUAUGAUUGUUGCAUGUUUACGAGAUUCACCUGAAAUAAAAUAUCUGAAAGAAAAAAUGAAAUUUUACAUCAAUUGCCAUUGUGAUUUUAGUAUAAUUACUUGUAUAGUUCAUAAAAAUAAAUUAAUUGAUUUUAUAAUUAAUAUGUCAAUUAAUUUAAUCAUUCACAGUUGGUGCACCGGGGUUAAUAGAAUAAUUAACGGAAAAAUAACAAAUUUCGAUGUAAAUGAUGAAAUUAAGUUACAAGCAUUUAAAUAUUGUAAUACACAUAAAAAAAGGAAAUAAAAUAUACUUAGCCGAUAAAUGUACUCUUUAUCUUUUGUUUUUUUAUUAUCUCCCAUAAUAUUAUUGACUAGACUAGAAGUUGGAAACUGAAAACUGGAAACUGGAACUGGAAAUUGAAAUCACUGUUUUAAAUUCAAUUUACAGUAAAUUGAAUUUAAAACAGUGAUUUCAAUUUUCAAAUUUAAAAACAUAUUUAAGAGAACUCUUGAAAAGCGCCAUCUACCCUAACCAUACAUGAAGUAACCACGCCAUCUUGUGACGGGGGCCCGUUAACUUUCACGCUAGUAAGUUGUUUUGAACGAUGAGUUGCGUAUCUAUCUCUAUAUAGUGUAUUAUCUAUGCAUCCAUCGUUCAUCAAUCAAGCGGUCGAAUAAUUCGUAAUUUUACUUAAUUUUUCCAUAUUUGUGCCAAUCGUUACAUUAAUUUUGUGUCCAUAAUUCGUUCAAAGUCAGUGGAUGUUUAUAAAUGUAAAUAAUCAUCGUGUUGUGUUUGCAAACGUGCAUAUGCUUUGUUGUGAGAACCAACCACCACCUUUAUCUGCUGUCAUUCUGAGUUGUAGCAACUGAAUUUUUCGAUAAUGAAACAUAAGUUAUCCUUUGAAUGGUAGGUUAUCGACUGAACUAGAGUACAAGAAUAACAAAUCAGUAUCCAGUUGUUGAUGUGUCGUGAUGAGAGUGGUGUUCUUACACGGAGCAGUCAUCGGGAGAAUGUGCGGUGGCGUUUAGCCUUAGUGGCAGAGGACGUCAGAAAUAGGAUCCAGCAUGGAAUCGCUGAAGGACGAAGAACGUUUGCGGCGGCUGCGCGCCCUGGAGGAGCGGUUGUGUGACCCUCGCUCCACCGGCAACGUGGACUGCUUGCUGGACACCGUGACGGCGCUCGUCUCCGACUGCGACCACCCGGCUAUCCGUCGCAUGAAGAACGUCGAAGCAUAUACAAGUAGAUAUGAGACUUUUGCUUCAGACAUAGUAGACCUGCGUAUGAAAGCAGCAGAUUUUGAUUUGAUAAAAGUGAUUGGCCGUGGGGCAUUUGGUGAAGUGCAACUAGUCAGACACAAGUCUACACGUCAAGUGUAUGCCAUGAAGUUACUCAGUAAGGUUGAAAUGAUCAAAAGAUCUGAUUCCACAUUCUUUUGGGAAGAACGGCACAUAAUGGCACAUGCUAACUCUGAGUGGAUAUUAAAACUUCAUUUUGCUUUUCAAGAUCACAAGUAUCUUUACAUGGUCAUGGACUAUAUGCCUGGCGGUGACCUUGUAAGCCUUAUGUCAAACUAUGACAUACCUGAAAAAUGGGCAAAAUUCUAUACAAUGGAAAUUGUCCUAGCAUUAGACGUAAUUCAUGGUAUGGGUUUUGUACACCGAGAUGUAAAACCAGAUAAUAUGCUAAUCGACAAAUAUGGCCAUCUAAAACUAGCUGAUUUUGGUACCUGUAUGAGAAUGGGACCUGAUGGACUUGUGAGGGCGAAUAAUGCUGUUGGCACUCCUGACUACAUCUCACCUGAAGUCUUACAGUCACAGAAUGGUGAGGGGGUGUAUGGUCGGGAAUGUGACUGGUGGGCUGUAGGAAUAUUUUUGUAUGAAAUGUUAAUUGGUGAUCCUCCAUUUUAUGCAGACAGUUUGGUCGGAACAUAUGGUAAAAUCAUGGACCAUCGGAAUUCACUACAGUUUCCCGAUGAUGUUGAAAUCUCAAAGGAUGCCAAAUCCUUGAUCAGAGGUCUUCUAACAGACCGAAUAAAAAGAUUAGGUAAAAAUAGUGUUAAUGAAAUCAAGCAACAUCCAUUCUUUAUCAAUGACCAGUGGAGUUUUGAAAAUUUGAGAGAUUCUGUACCACCAGUUGUGCCUGAAUUAUCUAGUGAUGAUGAUACAAGGAAUUUUGAUGAUAUGGAAAAGUCUGAUGCCUUGGAUGAAUCUUUUCCUGUGCCCAAAGCUUUUGUAGGUAAUCAUUUGCCAUUUGUUGGCUUUACAUACAAUGGUGAUUAUCAGUUAUGCUCCAGAGGACUAAAGGCAGCAGAUGUAGUAGACACUAUCUCUAAUAAUCAUAUUAAUAAUGUUGGAUCUGAAGCUAUAUUGCAGCUAGAGAAAUUACUUGAACGAGAAAGAGACGGUAGACGAAAAUUGGAGGACACCCAAGUAAGUUUAUGUGCUCAGUUAGAAGAAUUGUCUCAGAGGGAAUCUAGAAACAAAAAAAUAAUUGCUGAUACCGAUAAAGAAUUAGCUUUAUUACGACACGAUCUGAAAGAGAUACAAAGGAAAGCUGACAUUGAAGCAGAGACAAGAAGAAAAGCGGAAUUUAAUUUCAACGAAGCAAAGCGGCGGCUUGAUGAGGAGCAAAGCAAACGAGCGAAAGAAAUAAACAAUCUACAAACAUACAACGACAAAAUAAAUGCUCUGGAAAUGCAAUUGACAGAGUUGCGUGAAAAAUUAAAGCAAGAAUCUGAAUCCGCUGCCAAGUCGAGGAAACAAGCGGCCGAGCUGACAGCUGCGCAGGCCGCAGCCGCUGCUGUUAAUGAUGGCACAGUGGCGAGUUUGCGAGCUCAGCGAGACAGCCUGGAGAGGGAACGGAGUACUCUAUCGGAGGAACUUGCUGCUGUAAAGGCAGCUAAACAGCGUUCAGACGCAGCUGUCACAGAAGCCACUAGCAGAUUGAACGCAGCUCAUGCUGAUCUCGAGCGAUCUUCGGGCAGGCUUAAUCAAAUCAUGGCGGAUAACAGGCAGCUUUCAGAACGCGUGUCGUCGCUGGAGAAGGAAUGCGCGUCGCUGGCGCACGAGCUGCGCGCCGCCCAGCACAUGUACCAGCAGGAGCUGCGCGCGCACCAGGACACGCAGCGCUCGCAGUUGCUCUCUAAACAAGAAGCCAACUUGGAGCUUGUCAAGGGAACAUUGGAAAUGAUAUUUAAAGCUCUUCAAUCCAAACUGAACGAGGAGAAGACGGCGAGGCAGCGCUCCGAGUCCGUGUGCCAGGAGAAAGAUCGCCAGAUGUCCAUGCUCAGCGUCGACUACCGGCAGAUGCAGCAGCGCCUGCAGAAGCUAGAGGGAGAACAUCGACAGGAAACUGAGAAGGCGAUGGGGUUAGCGGCUUCGCUGGAACAGGAGCGCGCGGCCCGGCUGGCGGCGGGCGGCGAGGUGGCGGCGGCCGAGGCGGCGGCGCGCGCGGCGGCGGCCGAGCGGGACGCGCGCGCCCGCGACCUGCACGCCGUGAGGGCGGCGCUGCACGACGCCUCCGAGAAACUCGCCGCUGCUUCUGCGGAGCGCGACAUGCACUGCGCGAGGAGCGAGGAGCUACGCCAGCAGCUGGAGACGGAACAGCACUACUGCUUCGUGUACAAGAGCCAGGCGAACGACAUGCGUCUGAUGCUGGAGGAGAACACGCGGGCGGCGCGAGACUCCGAGCAGGAGCGCUCCAGCCUGCUGCACCAGCUGCAGCUCGCCAUCGCGCGCGCCGACUCCGAGGCCAUCGCCAGAUCGAUAGCAGAAGAGACAGUAGGCGAGCUAGAGAAGGAGAAGACGAUGAAAGAAUUGGAGAUGCGCGACGCGCUGUCACAGCACCGCAGCGAGCUGGCGGCGAGAGACGCACUCGUGCAGGGGCUGCGGGACCGGGACCACGAGAACAGGGCUACCAUUGAUCUGCAGAGGAAGGAAGUAGACGAGCUCCGGCGCAGCGGCACAGCUCUGGCCGAGCGCGUGGCGUCGCUGCAGCGCCUGCAGGAGGAAGUGGACCGGCUCAACAAGAAGCUCAACUCCGAGAUCAUGCUCAAGCAGCAAGCCGUCAACAAACUUGCUGAGAUCAUGAACAGAAAAGACAUGAACCCCGCGACGACGAAGAACAAGAGCAAGAUGUCGGUGCGCAAGGACAAGGACUACCGCAAGCUGCAGCAGGAACUGACUCGCGAGAAGGAGAAGUUCGACCAGCACAUCUCCAAGCUGCAGCGCGACCUGCAGGACUGUCAGCAGCAGCUGCUGGAUGAGCAGUCCACGAGGCUGCGACUCGCCAUGGAGGUUGACAGCAAAGACGUAGAAAUCGAACAGCUGAAAGAGAAACUGGCGGCUCUAACAAGCGAGACGGCUUCACAAUCAUCAGCUGACGCAGAAGACGGCGAGACGGAACAGACCCUCGAGGGCUGGCUCUCCGUGCCCUUUAAGCAGAACAUACGCCGACACGGAUGGAAGAAGCAAUACGUCGUCGUGUCCUCCAAGAAGAUCAUAUUCUAUAACACCGAGAAUGAUAAGCAGAAUACUACGGAUCCUGUCAUGAUUUUGGAUUUGAGCAAAGUGUUCCACGUGCGUUCAGUGACGCAAGGCGACGUGAUCCGCGCGGACGCGAAGGACAUUCCGCGCAUAUUCCAGCUGCUGUACGCCGGCGAGGGCGAGGCCAGGCGGCCCGGCGACCUCGCCGACCUGCCCGCCGAGGGCGGCGACCAUACUGGCAACACGGUGCAGCACAAGGGGCACGACCUGGUGAGCAUCACGUACCACAUCCCCACCGCCUGCGAGGUGUGCACGCGCCCGCUGUGGCACAUGUUCCGCCCGCCGCAGGCCUACGAGUGCCGACGGUGCCGCAUGAAGAUCCACGCGGAGCACGUGUCGGAGGGCGAGGGCGUGGCGGCGUGCAAGCUGCACGCGGACCGCGCGCGCGAGCUGCUGCUGCUGGCGCCCGGCGCGCCCGACCAGCGCCGCUGGGUGGCGCGCCUCGCCCGCCGCGUGCAGCGCUACGGCUACCGCGCCGCGCACCACCCGCACCACGACCACACCAAGCUCUCGCCCAGGUGCGUGUAACACUCUGUACUACUGCAGCGCCGCUGGUGGCGCGCCUCGCCCGCCGCGUGCAGCGGCUACCGCGCCGCGCACCACCCGCACCACGACCACACCAAGCUCUCGCCCAGGUGCGUGUAACACUCUGUACUACUGCAGCGCCGCUGGGUGGCGCGCCUCGCCGCGCGUGCAGCGCUACGGCUACCGCGCCGCGCACCACCCGCACCACGACCACACCAAGCUCGCCCAGGUGCGUGUAACACUCUGUACUACUGCAGCGCCGCUGGGUGGCGCGCCUCGCCCGCCGCGUGCAGCGCUACGGCUACCGCGCCGCGCACCACCCGCACCACGACCACACCAAGCUCUCGCCCAGGUGCGUGUAACACUCUGUACUACUGCAGCGCCGCUGGGUGGCGCGCCUCGCCCGCCGCGUGCAGCGCUACGGCUACCGCGCCGCGCACCACCCGCACCACGACCACACCAAGCUCUCGCCCAGGGACUCGAUGCGCUCCAACCUGAAGUCGGCGUACAUGAACGCGUCACAGCGCAGCUCGACGUUGCCGGCCAACGCGUCGCUGCCGCGGCAGUGAGCUCCCCUCUACGGUACUUGACACAUACACGCCAGCGCGGACACCCCGAGCUACAUACACUUUCUUAUUACGCGUUUCUUGAUUUUAAAGGUUAUAGUCGUGAGUCGCUUUGUUCAUCGCGCGUUGGUUUUUUUACUAACACUUUUUUCAAACAUUUUAUUCUAUGGGAUCUAGAAUAUAAUCUGUUUAUUUUGGAAAUUAAUUGAAAUCAUUAUAUCGUUCUAUCGAUCGAGAUACUUUUAAAUAAGUAUUCUGGAUAUCUUAUAGUAAAUCAUUCAUCGAGUAUUGUUAAGACAUGAAGUGUAAGCGAUGCGAUGCGUGGCUCGAUCGCUAGCAUUUGAUCUGGCAUUUGACAAUAUUUGCUAUUUGAAUCUUUCAGAUAUUUUAUAUCCAAAAUUCAAUAACAAUUGUAAAUUAACUAGUCUUAAAUAAGUUUAAGUAUUUUUGUCCAAAUUUUUAUAAGAUUUCGGCAUGACUGCUGUGAUAGAUAUUGAAAAUAUAACUAUUUUGUACUUAUCAAAAUUUACCAACACCAAGUAGUUUUUCUUAAUAUUAUUUUAGAAGCUGAUUGUCAUGGCGAAAUCUCAGAAACGGAUGCAAUGGUGCUAUCGUGUGCAUCACUUGCAAGUUGUUCACAGUUUAUAUGGCAUCAGCUCAAGCGAGUGUGUUGUAUAAAACAACACUAAUAUUUUCUUGGCUCAUUACAAGUGAGUCAAGUGAAUAUUAGUAACCGUGUUGAUAUUAUUAUGUUUUGUAUACUUAUAUUACGGUUUCGGAUGCGGUUUUACGUUGCGUACGACAACCAUGUGGUGUAGUAUUUGGGAACUAGGAGGUGUUACAAGCUUGUGAAGCUUUUUAUCAUGAAAUAAUGGAAUACAUAAACUAAUUUACACUAUUGUUCAUAACAUUGUCAACGGCAUGUAGUCAAUUCAUUGAUUUAAAGGGACAUAGAUGAAACUGGUUAUUUUUCAAUAAUAUUUUUGUACAAUUUAUUGAACCAGUAGAGCAUUUUUAUUAUAAUGUAUUUUGUUACGUUUUUAUUUUUAACAGCACAUAAUGUUUAUCCCUCAGUAUGUUGUAUAUCGUAUACUAUUGUUAAAUGAAUAUCGCUCGAGAACCUGUUAUUGGAUCCGUCUGAGAAUUUAGAAUUAUGACGGCCGUCGCACAUGUAGCGCAGAGAUUUUACACUAUCAUAAUGUUAUUGACAUUGUUUUGAUAAUAUUUAAAAUCAGUUACGAAAACUGAGCCGUGAAGAGCGCCAAAUGCACCACGUGAAUAGUUGUGUCAAUUUUAUUUUAGUAUUAUUUUAAUGUGAACAAUGUCGAUAAUAAUUUGACAGUGAUGUCGCUGCACUGCGCCACUUACGCGCCGGGCCUUUUGCGUUAUCCUGUUGUAAAAGAGAACAGUAGUGAGUGGCCUUGUCACAACAAGCGAACAUUAUAUACGCUGCGGUUGCACUUUUAGAUAGAAAUACGGGAAUUGAGCCUUGCAGGAAUUGAAUUACCAUUUUUUUAUGUAUUGUUAGAAGAAUUUAGUUAAACAUAUAUCAUAUUAAUUGAAAUAUAGAAAAUUAUACUAAAUGAUUCAGGGACCCUGUAUAUUAGACUAAGUACACAAGUAAGACAUUUCACAACGCGUAAGUGUUGCAAUUAACGAAGAAACCGUGCCAUAGGUGUUUUUGUUUUUAGUGAAUCGUCUCAUAACUAUAUUUGCUCAAGUGAAAUACCUAGUUCUUCAAAAAUCCGCGACGUUACUUAAUUAAGUAAGACUCUGAACGGGCUUCCUUGAAUCACAAGAUCAAUUUAUUCUAGACUAUGUAGUAGUGAGCUGCUGAGCUUAUUAAAUAAUUAGAUAAAUCAAUUAACACUACAAAAUUUGUUACACAUUUUUCUGUAAACUUGUGUCACGAAUUGCACUAAGAUUUCUUUUGCAAUGUGAGGUGAGAAAUGUAAUUUCGAAGCAAUAAUUCACCGUGUCUUAAUUCUCGUUAUGGUACGACUUAUUGAGAGUGCCAAACUUUCUCAUUUGUUGAAACCCCAAGACGGCUCUUGUGUGAAAGCCUUCUAUUUAACUUUUGUAUCUUUUACAAUACAUCAUUAGGCCUAAUAUAUCUUUAUUAUUAGAUGUUUAAUGUAUGUAAUGUAUAACAAAUUUGGAAACACCAAUUUUAUAUAGGCCUUGUAUAAUCUCGUGUACAAUAAAUCUCGUUUAGUUGUGAGUAUAAAGUACAAAGGUAGUUGAAACUGUUCACAACUAUACAUAUUUGAAUGUUUAACUUUUGCUGUAUUAAAUUAUGUAACAUGUUUCGCGAACCCUUUACUCGCAUUUGUGCUCAUGCGUCCAUUCCGUGAGUGCUGAGAAUUACUUUCAUUUUGACAAUAACAGAAACAUUUAAAACACUAGUUUUUACGAAUAUAAAUGGGCUAGGCAAUCUCGAGUUUCUGCAUCUGCAUACAUUAGCGACGUAGAGGGAGAGGCGACCGAUAAUAAUGUGUGAAGGCUUUGGAUAGCUGUGAUAAAUAAUCGUGUCUAUGUUUGUAGUUCAGCCAAAUAGUAGCUGGUCUCCGCAAGGUCUCGUUUAAGAUUAACGUCUUUUACAGGGGACAAAAAAGACAUGUUUUCAUUAUAAUAAUUAUAUUUAUACUAUAAAUAAUAAAGGUUGUAUGUAAUAUAUUCUUGGGAAUUACGCAGCGCCUGCGUGAGACCAGCUCACGACACGUACAGUUUGACUGGACUAUGAACACUCGUGGUGCUAGAAGGAAACAGGCCUCCGACGCAUUGUUGUUACUAUUAGUUCUUGUUAAAUAUUAUGAAAUACCCUGUUUAAUAUUGCUCUACACAUUGUUUACAUUCCUGCAACGAAAACUAUGUUGAGUUUUGUUUUCUUUAGUUUUAUAUUGACUCAAGUUCUCUGUUCUGUCGCAUAUCCAGUUAUUGCUUUGUUUUUCUUUUAGAUGUAAGUUUGGAACAAUCUCUUCAUUCAUGUUGACAUGCGAAUUUAAAAUUUUACGUACUUAAUAAUUAAAAAUUGCAAUUUUGUCGUAGUGUUUACGCUUAUUUUUGAGAUGCAUUUUAUUUUUAUUAUGGCAGCUUAUGCAUUGUAUUGUUCGUGCACUUCAUUCCAUAUUAUUUCAUGAGAUGUAUUUUAUAUUUCAUGUGUUCGGUUUUAUUAUUACCAAAGAAGUAAAAAAUGACAAAAAGAGCUGUUUAUUUUGGAUUCUAAGCCUUCGUUUUUCGUUCCAUGUCUCGUCAUUAAUAUUAAUUCCAUAUAAUAAUAAUAAUAUUGUUAUUUACUAUGCAUAAUUCUGAUAACCUGAUUUUACUAUUCUAGAUGACAUUUUUCGGGAGUAUUUUUCUCGACAACCGCAGCCUUAUAAACCGAUGUGGUUAUAGAAAUACUCCCAAAUUGUCUUAAUAACAAUAACUGAUAUAAUGUAAAAUCAUUAUGUAAAUUAUUUAUUAUCGAAUUAAAUCAUUUAUUGUAAUGUUUUAUUUAUCUACUAAAAUUGUAAGUUCCUAACUAGCUUUUCAUUAUUUUGUAAAGUUUUUUUUUUCAAAUAGCUUUUUGCUGAUAGAGGACAUUUCGUAUAAUCCAUCGUAUGUUUUAUAAACUAUUAUUAUGAUAUUGGAUAUAAUAUUUGGAAUAUGGUUUGAAUAAUCGCUGUAAGUAGGAGCGAGUCGCCGGCGCCCGGGCGGCUGGCCACAACACGACGUGCCUUAGCUACGGCUCACCCCAUAUCAUGUAGGCUUAUAUAUUGUCAUACCUGUCAUUAUUAUACUGUAAAUACGCUUUCAAUUCAACCGAUAUUUUAUGGAUUUUGAAACACUUGUAAAUUGUAAAGAUUAUUAAUUUUAAGGUAAUUAAUGCCCAAUAGUUAAUAAGUACUAUUUUUAAAAUAAAAAUAACAUUUUAAAA